CCUAUACUCCCUCCGUCCGAAAAUACUUGUCAUUGAAAUGGAUGUAUCUAGAUGUAUUUUAGUUCUAGACACAUCCAUUUUGAUGACAAGUAAUUCCGGACGGAGGGAGUACUUG
rnacentral:pre_miRNA from 1 species